AGAGAACUUACGGGUAUAGGUCAUUUGGCCCUGGUAGUAAGAAGGAAGAUACACGUGUUGCGCGUGUGGAGGCUGCCCGUACACAUUCAUAGCUGCUAUGCCGAUUUCAUCACCACCUACAUUAUACGCCGGCGAUUGCACCAGAGCGCAAAAGGAAUCGUACCAUUGCUGCCUGACCAAAAUGAGCUGCAACGUGCAAUGACAAUAGAAUCAAGUGGACAAGUCGAAUACUGAGAGAAAACAAUACAAAAACACAACCUAGAACUAUUUAAAAGUACUUGUUAUGUCUCUAAUGAUAAUUGAAUUAUAAUGACAAUGUUAUUAGUAUAACCCACAAAUGUUGAUAAACAUAACUACAUUACCUUUGUUUUAACAUCAAUCUGUGCACCAUUCUUUACGAGAAUAGAAGCAACAUUGACUUUAUCCUCUUGUGCGCAUAAGUGUAACGGCGUAAGACCAUUCUGUAAAGAUAAAUAAAUAAUAGAAUAAAUAAAUAAUAGAAUAACAAAUUUCUCAA